UUUUGCUGUUAUUUAACUUAAAACUUUGAAUUAUUCUUGUUUUUGUUUCCCCCAAUUUUCUUAGCAAGAUCAAGAAAAUUUAUGAAAAAAUUUUCUUUAAGAACAUUUAUCCAGUAGCAUUACUUAAAAAUUGCAAAACUGGGAGUAAGUGGAUGGGUUGGUUUGCGAAUUCUUGAUUUUAGUCCAAUUUCUAGUUCUUGCUUUAUGGUGUCUAACAGGGCUGAACUAGGACAAAGGAUCCGGCCUCAACUAGUUUGGGAUUAGUUGUUGUUGUUGUUUUAAUUCUUCACGUUUUAAGAUUUGUUGAGUGAUAUAUUAUAGCCAAAUUGAAAGAUUAGAGCAAAAUUCUUGUGUAGUUUCUUUUGUUGUUUGGCUCUUCUUAAUAUCCAGCAAUUGUCAUGCUGCCACUUUUAGAAGAACACAUCCUAUUGUGCAUCUUUUCCUUUUUCCAAAUAAUAGGGUGGUAGAUGCUUCUCUUGUAAUUUAGCUUUCAUGUCUUGCCACGUAACAAUUGGUGGUUCCCUCAAUCUUGCCAUGUCUUGCUCAACACUUUUUCACCAUAUUUUUGCUAAUCCAAUG
rnacentral:misc_RNA from 1 species